rnacentral:rRNA from 1 species
GACGAACGCUGGCGGCGUGCUUAACACAUGCAAGUCGAACGGAAAGGCCCUGCUUGCAGGGUCCUCGAGUGGCGAACGGGUGAGUAACACGUGGGUGAUACGCCCUGUACUUCGGGAUAAGCCUGGGAAACUGGGUCUAAUAUCGGAUAGGAGCCAUUCUUAGUGAGAUGGUUGGAAAGAUUUUUCGGUGUGGGAUGAGCUCGCGGCCUAUUAGCUUGUUGGUGGGGUAAUGGCCUACCAAGGCGGCGACGGGUAGCCGGCCUGAGAGGGUGGACGGCCACAUUGGGACUGAGAGACGGCCCAGACUCCUACGGGAGGCAGCAGUGGGGAAUAUUGCACAAUGGGCGCAAGCCUGAUGCGGCGAGGCCGCGUGGGGGAUGACGGCCUUCGGGUUGUAAACUCCUUUCGCUAGGGACGAAGCUUUUUGUGACGGUACCUAGAUAAGAAGCACCGGCUAACUACGUG